rnacentral:rRNA from 1 species
AAACCACAUGCUCCACCGCUUGUGCGGGCCCCCGUCAAUUCCUUUGAGUUUCAGCCUUGCGGCCGUACUCCCCAGGCGGAAUGCUUAAUGCGUUAGCUGCAGCACUGAAGGGCGGAAACCCUCCAACACUUAGCAUUCAUCGUUUACGGUAUGGACUACCAGGGUAUCUAAUCCUGUUUGCUACCCAUACUUUCGAGCCUCAGCGUCAGUUACAGACCAGACAGCCGCCUUCGCCACUGGUGUUCUUCCAUAUAUCUACGCAUUUCACCGCUACACAUGGAGUUCCACUGUCCUCUUCUGCACUCAAGUUUCCCAGUUUCCGAUGCACUUCUUCGGUUGAGCCGAAGGCUUUCACAUCAGACUUAAAAAACCGCCUGCGCUCGCUUUACGCCCAAUAAAUCCGGACAACGCUUGCCACCUACGUAUUACCGCGGCUGCUGGCACGUAGUUAGCCGUGGCUUUCUGGUUAAAUACCGUCAAUACCUGAACAGUUACUCUCAGAUAUGUUCUUCUUUAACAACAGAGUUUUACGAGCCGAAACCCUUCUUCACUCACGCGGCGUUGCUCCAUCAGACUUUCGUCCAUUGUGGAAGAUUCCCUACUGCUGCCUCCCGUAGGAGUUUGGGCCGUGUCUCAGUCCCAAUGUGGCCGAUUACCCUCUCAGGUCGGCUACGUAUCAUUGCCAUGGUGAGCCGUUACCUCACCAUCUAGCUAAUACGCCGCGGGACCAUCCAAAAGUGAUAGCCGAAGCCAUCUUUCAAACUCGGACCAUGCGGUCCAAGUUGUUAUGCGGUAUUAGCAUCUGUUUCCAGGUGUUAUCCCCCGCUUCUGGGCAGGUUUCCCACGUGUUACUCACCAGUUCGCCACUCACUCAAAUGUAACUCAUGAUGCAAGCACCAAUCAUUACCAGAGUUCGUUCGACUUGCAUAAAAA